UCUGAAGUCCUGAGGUUUUAGAAGCAAUAGCUCCAUCGCUUCUCGGCCUUUUGGCUAAGAUUAAGUGUAGAAGCAAUAGCCCUGAUUCAUGUGCUAUCUAGGGCAAGUCAGUUAUGACUG
rnacentral:miRNA from 1 species